GAUGAACGCUGGCGGCGUGCCUAAUACAUGCAAGUAGAACGCUGAAGGAGGAGCUUGCUCUUUCCGGAUGAGUUGCGAACGGGAGAGUAACGCGUAGGUAACCUGCCUGGUAGCGGGGGAUAACUAUUGGAAACGAUAGCUAAUACCGCAUAACAGUAGAUAUUGCAUGAUAUUUGCUUGAAAGGGGCAAUUGCUCCACUACCAGAUGGACCUGCGUUGUAUUAGCUAGUUGGUGAGGUAACGGCUCACCAAGGCGACGAUACAUAGCCGACCUGGGAGGGUGAUCGGCCACCCUGGGACUGGGACACGGCCCAGACUCCUACGGGAGGCAGCAGUAGGGAAUCUUCGGCAAUGGACGGAAGUCUGACCGAGCAACGCCGCGUGAGUGAAGAAGGUUUUCAUCGUAAAGCUCUGUUGUAAGGGAAGAACGAGUGUGAGAGUAGAAAGUUCACACUGUGACGGUAUCUUACCAGAAAGGGACGGCUAACUACGUG
rnacentral:rRNA from 1 species